UACGGGGGGAGCAAGCGUUGUUCGGAUUUACUGGGCGUAAAGGGCGCGUAGGCGGUCAGCACAAGUCAGUUGUGAAAUCUCCGGGCUUAACUCGGAAAGGUCAACUGAUACUGUGCGACUAGAGUGCGGAAGGGGCAACUGGAAUUCGCGGUGUAGCGGUGAAAUGCGUAGAUAUCGAGAGGAACACCUGCGGCGAAGGCGGGUUGCUGGGCCGACACUGACGCUGAUGCGCGAAAGCCAGGGGAGCGAACGGG
rnacentral:rRNA from 1 species